rnacentral:rRNA from 1 species
GACAGAGGAUGCAAGCGUUAUCCGGAAUGAUUGGGCGUAAAGCGUCUGUAGGUGGCUUUUUAAGUCUGCCGUCAAAUCCCAGGGCUUAACCCUGGACAGGCGGUGGAAACUACCAAGCUGGAGUACGGUAGGGGCAGAGGGAAUUUCCGGUGGAGCGGUGAAAUGCGUAGAGAUCAGGAAGAACACCGGUGGCGAAAGCGCUCUGCUGGACCUUAACUGACACUGAGGGACGAAAGCUAGGGGAGCGAAUGGG